rnacentral:misc_RNA from 1 species
CAAAGUUGAGCUAUCUGUUUCCUCUUAUGACACAGCAUGGGUUGCUAUGGUGCCUUCAAAGGAUUCUUCAAAGCAACCUUCGUUCCCAAAAUGCCUAAACUGGGUUAUGGAGAAUCAAGGAAUNNNNNNNNNNCUGGGGUCUUGAUCCAAGCCAUCCUUUGCUCGUUAAAGACUCUCUAUCUUGUACUUUGGCGUGUGUACUUGCCCUCCAGAAAUGGAAAGUUGACCCG